CUACAAAGUAAUGCUUAGAAUAGAUAUAUAAAACAUAAAUUAACACAUAGAUGAGCUUGGAGCCAUCUUGAAAAACUGAAGGUGUGAGAUCCAGAAUCAAAUCUAGUCCUCCAAAGUGAUACAUGAAUUCUUUAAAAUGUCACUCUCUGGCCAAGUUUUUUUGAACUUAGUGCCAUUGUACACUUUAUGAAUAGUAGUAUAGGUUUUAUAUGCAUUAGCAAAUGAAAAAAGGUUGUGAUUUACUUUAUAGCAGAGGUCUUGAAUGUAACUGCUACAAUAACAAUGUAUAUCUGUAAAUAAUAUAUUAACCCUUUUGCUCUGUUGCCUAGAUUGGAUGGCAAGAGGGUAAUUAACAGCAUCAUACAGUUGAUGUGUAUGCACUGCAACAGUAUGGAACAGUUGGUCAUAAUUUUUGUAAAUUAUUUUUGCAAUAAUUUAAGAAAACCUUUUUUAAAUGUAAUUAUUGCAUAUUUUAGAUUAUAUUUAUUAUUAAAUGGGCAUGGCAUGCUAGCUAAGAACUCCCGCCAAUUCAUUCCCAGGAAAUUUGUUCCACCUAUUAAGCUCAGUACUUUAACUAGCUGAAAUUAAUUUAUAAAACUUAAAACUUGUUAAUUAUUUUCAAAUUAGUUCUCUCUUA
rnacentral:lncRNA from 1 species